rnacentral:rRNA from 1 species
AUUGAACGCUGGCGGCCGGCUUAACACAUUCAAGUCGAGCGGAGCGAGGGUGCUUGCACCAUAGCUUAGCGGCUGACUGGCGAGUAAUGCGUAGGAGUCUGCCUAGUAGUGGGUGACAACAUUCCGAAAGGAAUGCUAAUACCGCAUACGCCCUACGGGGGAAAGCAGGGGAUCGUCGUACCUUGCGCUAAGAGAUGAGCCUAAGUGGGAUUAGCGAGUUGGUGGGGUAAGGGCAUACCAAGGCGACGAUCUGUAGCGGGUCUGAGAUGAUGGUCCGCCACACUGGGACUGAGAAACGGCCCAGACUCCUACGGGAGGCAGCAGUGGGGAAUAUUGGAAACUGGGCGGAAGCCUGAUCCAGACAUGCCGCGUGUGUGAAGAAGGCCUUUUGGUUGUAAAGCGCUUUAAGGGAGGAGGAGGAUACUUAGAGUAAUACUCUGGGAUAGUGGACGUUGCUCGCAGAAUAAGCACCGGCUAACUCUGUGCCAGCCGCCGCCGUAACAC